rnacentral:rRNA from 1 species
UACGAGUGCGUCAAGCGUUAUCCGGAAUCAUUGGGCGUAAAGAGUGCGUAGGCGGUUUUCUAAGUUUGGUGUGAAAUCUCCCGGCUUAACUGGGAGGGUGCGCCGAAAACUGGAAGGCUUGAGUAUGGGAGAGGUAAGCGGAAUUCCUGGUGUAGCGGUGAAAUGCGUAGAUAUCAGGAGGAACACUUGCGGUGUAGACGGCUUACUGGACCAUAACUGACGCUGAGGCACGAAAGCGUGGGUAGCAAACAGG